UACGUAGGUGGCAAGCGUUGUCCGGAUUUACUGGGCGUAAAGAGCGCGCAGGCGGUCGUACAAGUCGCGUGUGAAAGCCCCCGGCUCAACUGGGGAGGGUCACGCGAUACUGUUCGACUCGAAGGCAGGAGAGGGAAGCAGAAUUCCCGGUGUAGUGGUGAAAUGCGUAGAUAUCAGGAGGAACACCGGUGGCGAAGGCGGGUCUCUGGGCCGAUACUGACACUGAGAAGCGAAAGCGUGGGGAGCGAACAGG
rnacentral:rRNA from 1 species